rnacentral:rRNA from 1 species
UACGAAGGGAGCAAGCGUUGUUCGGAAUUACUGGGCGUAAAGGGCGUGUAGGCGGUUUAGUAAGUCAGAUGUGAAAGCCCCGGGCUCAACCCGGGAAGUGCUUCUGAUACUGCUUGGCUUGAGUAUUGGAGAGGUGAGUGGAAUUCCUGGUGUAGCGGUGAAAUGCGUAGAUAUCAGGAGGAACACCUGUGGCGAAAGCGGCUCACUGGACCACAACUGACGCUGAGGCGCGAAAGCUAGGGGAGCAAACAGG